GCUUUAAUAAUUUAAAAAAAAUACUGGUCUUGUAAAUCAAUUAUAAGAAAUAAAAUUAUUCUUUUAAAGCU
rnacentral:tRNA from 2 species